GAAUCGCGAUAAGUAAUGUGAAUUGCAGAUUUUCAGUGAAUCAUCGAAUCUUUGAACGCACCUUGCGCUCCUUGGUAUUCCGAGGAGCAUGCCUGUUUGAGUGUCAUUCAAUCUUCAACCAUUCGUCUCGUCUUGUCUCCAAGACAGUGACUCAUGGCUUGGAUCUUGGAGGUUGCCGGCCUUUGUCUUCGUCGGCUCUUCUGAAAUACAUUAGCGAAUGUGAUAGGGUCACUCAGUGACGGCCUCUCUUUCGACGACGUCAUAAUGAUCGUCGUCCACACGGGAGGGGCUGGAGUGUAGGAUCUGAUCGUUCGCUUCCAAUCCAAACCCCGUCAAUCAAAUCGAUAAUCUCUCGUCUGUGUCUGUCGUCGUCCUCGCAUGACUUCAUUCCCAUUCGAUCGAUCUCUCCUUUGUUUGAACCCUGACUGAACCUUUGACCUCAAAUCAGGUAGGACUACCCGCUGAACUUAA
rnacentral:rRNA from 1 species